rnacentral:ncRNA from 1 species
AUUCUUGCUUAAUUACUUAUUUUAAUUUAGUAUUAUAUGCAAAAUUUUAUUUUAAUAAUUUCUUAAUGAAUUAAUUUGAUUUUUGAGCAGUAAUAAAUAUUAAAUAAUGAAGGGGAUUUUGAUUUAGUUAUUUUUAUUAACAUUGAUUAAAUAUGUGCCAGCAGUCGCGGUUAUACAUAGGAUGUAUAUAAGUAUUUUUAGUUAUGUAGUUUAUUUAUUAUUUUAAUUUAGUUUAAUGAUUUUUGGGUAAAAUUUAAAUUUUUAUUUUUGUUUUAAUUUUAUAUUAAGUGAGGCUGCGAAAUCUAAAUUAUUUAAACUAGGAUUAGAUACCCUAUUAUUUUAGAUUUAAAUAUUUAAGCUUGAGUAGUAUUAGUUAUGAUCUUGAAACUUAAAGAAUUUGGCGGUAUUUUAGUCUAGUUAGAGGAAUCUGUCCCGUGAUCGAUAAUCCACGUUGAACCUUACUUAGUAUAAUUUAACAUGUAUAUCGCCGUUUAUUUGAAGAUCUUUUUAGGGAGAAUUUUCUUUAAAUUUUAAUUAAUUUUAUUUCAGGUCAAGGUGCAGUUAAUAAUUAAGUGGUGAUGGAUUACAAUAUUUGUAAAAUAAAUGGAUUAAAGUUUGAAAAUGCUCUAUGAAGGGGGAUUUAAUAGUAAUUAAUAAUAAGAAUUAUUUUUGUGAUAUUAGCUCUGAAAUGUGUACACAUCGCCCGUCACUCUCGUUAUUAAGAUGAGAUAAGUCGUAACAAAGUAGGUGUACCGGAAGGUGUAGCUAGAUUGAU